rnacentral:rRNA from 1 species
GACGAACGCUGGCGGCGUGCUUAACACAUGCAGGUCGAACGGAAAGGCCCUGCUUUUGUGGGGUGCUCGAGUGGCGAACGGGCGAGUAACACGUGAGUAACCUGCCCUUGACUUUGGGAUAACUUCAGGAAACUGGGGCUAAUACCGGAUAGGAGCUCCUGCUGCAUGGUGGGGGUUGGAAAGUUUCGGCGGUUGGGGAUGGACUCGCGGCUUAUCAGCUUGUUGGUGGGGUAGUGGCUUACCAAGGCUUUGACGGGUAGCCGGCCUGAGAGGGUGACCGGCCACAUUGGGACUGAGAUACGGCCCAGACUCCUACGGGAGGCAGCAGUGGGGAAUAUUGCACAAUGGGCGGAAGCCUGAUGCAGCAACGCCGCGUGCGGGAUGACGGCCUUCGGGUUGUAAACCGCUUUCGCCUGUGACGAAGCGUGAGUGACGGUAAUGGGUAAAGAAGCACCGGCUAACUACGUG